rnacentral:rRNA from 1 species
AGUGAACGCUGGCGGUAGGCCUAACACAUGCAAGUCGAACGGCAGCACAGGAGAGCUUGCUCUCUGGGUGGCGAGUGGCGGACGGGUGAGGAAUACAUCGGAAUCUACUCUGUCGUGGGGGAUAACGUAGGGAAACUUACGCUAAUACCGCAUACGACCUACGGGUGAAAGCAGGGGACCUUCGGGCCUUGCGCGAUUGAAUGAGCCGAUGUCGGAUCAGCUAGUUGGCGGGGUAAAGGCCCACCAAGGCGACGAUCCGUAGCUGGUCUGAGAGGAUGAUCAGCGACACUGGAACUGAGACACGGUCCAGACUCCUACGGGAGGCAGCAGUGGGGAAUAUUGGACAAUGGGCGCAAGCCUGAUCCAGCCAUACCGCGUGGGUGAAGAAGGCCUUCGGGUUGUAAAGCCCUUUCGUUGGGAAAGAAAUCCAGCUGGCUAAUACCCGGUUGGGAUGACGGUACCCAAAGAAUAAGCACCGGCUAACUUCGUGCCAGCAGCCACCGUAA